AAAAACAGCAUGAAAAAGAGGAAAGAACUUGUGACACAGAAAUGACUAAACUUUAUGAAAUCUGUAGACAAAUGAGUCUGUUGUAACCGUCUUUGUCUUUUUUUUCUAAAUUGUUUGUGUUCUGAGUGAAGUUUGUGCGUUUUCUUUGUCUCAUGGGGUCAGAAGUGGCUGUUUGGUGAGCUUCCUUCUUUCUUCAAGAAGUCUGGUGGGUCUUUAGUUCCGUUUUCAGCUCUGAUCGCUGCAGAAAAAUGGAAGCCGUGGUCCGACUGUUGUUGCUGUUAGUAGGAGUCGCUCAUGGUGAGUCAACGUUUUGAAGUUUUAUCUGACAGAAACUGAGUUUCUCUAUCAAAAGUUUAAAAACUAGAGAACUCUUGUGUUUUGCUUUUUCCAGCUUAGAAUUAUUUGAACUACAAAUAUAUAACGUUUACAGCGACUGCUCAAGUGUGACAUAAACUUCAAAAGCCCAAACUCUGAAAAGUGCUUCUGUCACAAACAAGAGAACAUCAAUUUAGACUAAACAGUUGAAAACUAAAAUUCUAAAACAUUUGAAAGGAUUUGCUGUAUGUGUUUAUGUGGUCCCACAUUAAAUAGAAACAUUGAAACUAAUAACGAUACUUUUUCUUUUUUAGGUACAGAGACUUUCUGUGAUUCAAGACAGGAUAAAGCUCAGUGUUAUGGAGCUGAUGGUGGAACUGUGUUCAUACAGCUGAUCAACGAAGACACAGAGACAGACAAUAAAUUUGAAUGGAUGAAGGAUAACUUGGUAUUACUUAAAGGGAAAAAUAAUUCCAUACUAUCUAAUGAAUUGAAGAACAGAUCUUCAUUUUUUUUCAACAAUGGAACAUUUAUGAUUAAAAACCUGAGUAAAAGUGACAGCGGUGAAUAUAAACUCACACUGUAUAACUCAGAGGGAAAGAUUAUCAAAAGACGGUCUACAAGGUUAACUGUUAAUGAAAGGAAUCCGCUGUCCAUCCUGGCUGUUUUGCUUUCACUUCUGUUAAUCUGCUUAAUUGCUGGAACUGUUGUCAUCUGUGUCUUGAAAAAAAACAAAAACAAAGGCGAUCAUCAAAUAAUCUAUGCUGAAGUUCAGAUGAAGCAGCAGCAGAAGAAGAGGAGAAUCUCUGAAAAGUUAGAAGUGGAGGUGGAGUACAGUGAAGUGAAGUUUGCAGAGCGCCCUCGUCAGACUGAGCCUGCAAAUUAUGAAGCGUUCAAAGGAGAUUCAAGUUGAGGAAGAUGAAGAGAUCCGCAGGAUCUUCCUAAAAGAUGCACUUUGAUCUGUUUGUAUGCAGCUGCCCUAAUUUUCUUUUCUUUUUCUCUAUAUUAAUGUGGGUUACAUUGAGAACAUGAGAAUGUGAGGAAACUGCUGUAAUUUCUUCCUUUGGCUUCUUUUUGUUCAGUGCUUGAUAUAUGGGCCUCGUAAUAAGACAUCUUAAAGGCUAUUUUAUGUUAUUUAAAGAUGGUAUUGUUUGUUUUUCAUAAUUUCUCAGUAACGCAAAGCAGCAAAUUGAUCAAAAGAACCACAUGAUCCACAAAAUGGAAAAACAAGCUAUGUUUGUGAUGAACAAAGGAAAACGUUUGGAAGCUUCUUGAUAACAGCUCACAUACUCACUAACAUAUGUUUUAAAGUUAUAGAAAAGAAACCCAGACUCUUAAACUUUAAAUGAUUGCAAAAAAGGAUAAUAUGAAUUUAAUAAAAACAUAAGGAGGACCAUCACUUCUUCUGUCUGCACAAAGUCAGUCAAAGUUGUUCCAAACUGAAACUUAAGUCAAACUCAGUUUGUUGUCUGUAAGAAAAAUCAACAAAACUGCAAAAAUUCACAUCCUGAAUGUGAUUCAGAGGCAACCAAUUAAAAAAUUGAAGCCAUCGUUCUACAGAUUCCUUAGUUUCAUAUUCUUUUGAUCAAGAAAGUAGACAGAAAAGCACACUACAGAUGUGAAACUGAAAAAAAAACUCAACUGUUUUCUACAGUAAGUUAUUUGUGUUUCAUUUGUUUGUUGACUUUCUGUUUUUUGCACUUGGAUGCUAAGCAUGUUCUUUCCAGUUGUGACAUGUACAAAGUCCCUGAUCUAUGAAUUAGCAUGUUGUUUAACCAACAUCAAGGAUGGACACGUCAACAGCCUUUCAGAAGCAGUUUGUCUUUGUAUUUUCUGUGCUGAUGGUUCAGUGCUGUGCAGCAUUUGUGAGGAUAGAAUUUUACGUUGUUUGAUUAUUUUGCUCUUUUUGAAAUUUCUCUUUUUUGCAGAUGCACAAUUUAUAAAGUAACAAAUAAAAAUUUGUAGAAAAAGAAAAA
rnacentral:lncRNA from 1 species